rnacentral:sRNA from 1 species
ACCCUCCAACAUGGCGGCGGCGGUAGAUUAGGGCCGCGGGUCGGAGCACUCACCGCCGCUGGGGACCCUGUCGGAAGCAACCGCCGCCGCCGCCUCUUUCAUCUCUUCUGGGGCAGGGGCCAGGGCCAGGGGUUCAACUAGAUAAAGCUUCACAAUCUCUGGAUCAAGAAAUUUUAUUAAAAGUUAAAACUGAAAUUGAAGAAGAGCUAAAAUCUCUGGACAAAGAAAUUUCUGAAGCCUUCACCAGCACAGGCUUUGACCGUCACACUUCUCCAGUGUUCAGCCCUGCCAAUCCAGAAAGCUCAAUGGAAGACUGCUUGGCCCAUCUUGGAGAAAAAGUGUCUCAGGAACUGAAAGAGCCUCUCCAUAAAGCAUUGCAAAUGCUCCUGAGCCAAACGAUGCUAAAAUACUUUAGCCUGGUAGACAAUCA